UAGAAACCUGAGUACGGGGCUGUGGAUGUAUGGAGCUCAGUGGUACAGCACUUGCCUGGUGUGCACAAGACCUUGGGUUUCAUCCCAGCACUACAAAACCAAUCCAGAAAAGUGGAUUUUCCAAGGACAGAGGAGAGUGUUCACUGCCUGGAUAUUAAUUUUCUUCCCAUGGAAAAGGAGCCAGGAGAUGGAUCACUACGUGUUUAACUAGCACAGAGAAAGCAGUCCGCAUCCAUCUAUCUUCCAUUCAGUCUCCCUUCAGAAAGACAUUAUGGGUGAAUCCCACUCCUCUGACUACAAGUGUCUCGAGUAACAGCUUUGCAAGUGGCCUUAACAGAGUGUCAGGAAACCAAUCAAUGUAGCUUUUCACAAAGGAAUCUACUUGAUCAAUAUCACCAAGCACCUGCAGACCUAACACACAGAUCACAUAGGAGUUUUCAUGAUCAAUAGAAGUUAUACAGGAAAUAAAUUAUUGGGGAUAUUUACAUCGGUAUGUCAUAAAUGCUGUGUGCUGAUAGCUUUGUUCUUGGGGAGCUAUGCUAAUAUAAUAAAAGUGUUAGGAGCGACAGUGCUUAAGCUGCAGGAGAGCCUCUCAGGGUUAGCUUCAAAGAUGUAACUAGUUUUGAAGGAAAAUUGGUUUAAAAAUGUUGCCCUAAUUUUUCCUCACCAAGUAGAUUGUAAACUUUUUGAUGGAUGGGAUUAUUUUGAUGUUUCCAUACCACGAGUAUUGACAUAACAUAGGGAAAUCAAUAAAUUCUUGCUGAGUUGAUUACCAUUCCCUAUACUUCUCCUGGGACUCAUGUUAAUACCAAGAGGUCAUCCUUUUAUAGCACUCUAUCUUUUCUUCCAGGAUUCUUGGAGAAAUGCCCACAUGUAAAUGCUGCAAAUUUUUCUGGCAAAUAGUCUGUGGCUGAAAUGUUUGGGCAUUAAGCUCAAGUCAUAACUGUACCACAGUAAUACAUGGAGACAUUGCCUGGAU
rnacentral:lncRNA from 1 species